GAUGAAGAACGCAGCGAAAUGCGAUACGUAAUGUGAAUUGCAGAAUUCAGUGAAUCAUCGAAUCUUUGAACGCAUAUUGCGCUCUCUGGUAUUCCGGAGAGCAUGCUUGUUUGAGUAUCAGUAAACACCUCAACUUCCAUAUCUUUUUUGAAAUGGGAGUUGGACUUGAGUGAUCCCAACGCCUUUCCUCACCGAAAAGUGGCGGGUUACUUGAAAUGCAGGUGCAGCUGGACUUUUCUCUGAGCUAUAAGCAUAUCUAUUUAGUCUGCCUAAAAAACAGAUUAUUACCUUUGCUGCAGCUAACAUAAAGGAGAUUAGUUCUUGUGCUGACUGAUGCAGGAUUCACAAAGACGGCUUCGGCCGACUUUGUAAACUCGAUCUCAAAUCAAGUAAGACUACCCGCUGAACUUAAGCAUAUCAAUAAGCGGAGGA
rnacentral:misc_RNA from 1 species